AGUGAACGCUGGCGGUAGGCCUAACACAUGCAAGUCGAACGGCAGCACAGUAAGAGCUUGCUCUUACGGGUGGCGAGUGGCGGACGGGUGAGGAAUACAUCGGAAUCUACUUUUUCGUGGGGGAUAACGUAGGGAAACUUACGCUAAUACCGCGUACGACCUACGGGUGAAAGCAGGGGAUCUUCGGACCUUGCGCGAUUGAAUGAGCCGAUGUCGGAUUAGCUAGUUGGCGGGGUAAAGGCCCACCAAGGCGACGAUCCGUAGCUGGUCUGAGAGGAUGAUCAGCCACACUGGAACUGAGACACGGCCCAGACUCCUACGGGAGGCAGCAGUGGGGAAUAUUGGACAAUGGGCGCAAGCCUGAUCCAGCCAUACCGCGUGGGGGAAGAAGGCCUUCGGGUUGUAAAGCCCUUUUGUUGGGAAAGAAAAGCAGCAGGUUAAUACCCCGCUGUUCUGACGGUACCCAAAGAAUAAGCACCGGCUAACUUCGUG
rnacentral:rRNA from 1 species